rnacentral:rRNA from 1 species
CCUACGGGUGGCAGCAGUGGGGAAUAUUGGGCAAUGGGCGCAAGCCUGACCCUGCAACGCCGCGUGAAGGAAGAAGGCUUUCGGGUUGUAAACUUCUUUUGACAGGGAAGAGCAGAAGACGGUACCUGUCGAAUAAGCCACGGCUAACUACGUGCCAUCAGCCGCGGUAAUCCGUAGGUGGCAAGCGUUGUCCUGAUUUACUGGGUGUAACGGGCGUUGAGCCGGGCUGACAAGUAGGGUGUGAAAUCCGGGGGCUCAACCCCCGAACUGCAUUUGAACCUGGUGGUCUUGAGUAUCGGAGCGGCAGGCGGAAUUCCUAGUGUAGCGGUGAAAUGCGUAGAUAUUAGGAGGAACACCAGUGGCGAAGGCGGCCUGCUGGACGACAACUGACGGUGAGGCGCGAAAGCGUGGGGAGCAAACAGGAUUAGAUACCCUAGUAGUC